CGAGCGCAUGAGUUGUGCUGGACCUGUGACUACUGGAAGGCCCCCCGCUGUUGUGCGGCCGACUUUCGGUGCCUGGUCCUUUCAAUUGUUGGCUACUGUGGUGCCUAAAGUUUCGACGGGUGCUUGCAUGCUGCUACCAGUUGCACUGGAAGAUGCAUUGCUAAAUGUGGGUUUUGUUGUGCAUACCCUUAUGGUGUAUCACUUCAACCAUAAAGCGUUCAUGGUGUUGCCUCGUGUAGCUAGGCGCUUAGUUUGGCUGCAUCAAGGCCACUUCAUUAACGCUAUCGGUCUCGGAUGUGGCAAACUCUAAAGGCUGCAGGUGGUCUGCCACCUCAUGCCUAGAAUAUAUUGUCCGUUCGGAAACAACGACAGUUGGCAUGGCUGAUGCCUCGUGCAGAAGUAGUGCU
rnacentral:misc_RNA from 1 species